rnacentral:rRNA from 1 species
GACGAACGCUGGCGGCGUGCUUAACACAUGCAAGUCGAGCGGCAGCGGGUCCCCGCGAGGGGAUGCCGGCGAGCGGCGGACGGGUGAGGAACACAUCGGAAUCUGCCUGGUUGUGGGGGAUAACGUAGGGAAACUUACGCUAAUACCGCAUGCGACCCUGAGUCGACGGACUGGGGGUGAAAGUGAGGGACCUUCGGGCCUCACGCGACCAGAUGAGCCGAUGUCGGAUUAGCAGUUGGCGGGGUAACGGCCCGCCAAGGCGACGAUCCGUAGCUGGUCUGAGAGGAUGAUCAGCCACACUGGGACUGAGACACGGCCCAGACUCCUACGGGAGCAGCAGUGGGGAAUCUUGGACAAUGGGCGCAAGCCUGAUCCAGCCAUGCCGCGUGGGUGAAG